AGUCAAAACUCCCUUCAAUAUUUGGCAACUCCACAAUUUCGCUUAAUUCCUCGGAUUCUGAAACAUCCUCAGACACUGACACCGAGGAUGAUGACUCCGAUAUUGCUGAUGAUGACGAAGAAGGAGAUGAAGAAGAAGACGAAGAUGAAGACGAGGGUAAUGAGUUAAACUCAACCAUCGAAGCAGCUUUAGCGGCGGCUGCCUGAAUAUCUUGCGGCAUUAAUGACACUGGACGAGGCAGUGAGUCAACGAGUUCUGGGAAAUUUAGAAUAGCGGAGUUACCUUUUAUGCUCAUGGCGGCGACAUCGUGAGCACGCGCCGCCAUUUCAGCUGUAGGGAAUGUUCCAAGCCAAAUACGUGAUUUCUUGCGGGGUUCACGGAUUUCUGAUACCCAUUUGCCCCAGCUUCUCAUCCUAACACCUCUAUAGACAGGGUGCUUGCUAUCUAUUGCUCUUUUUGGUUUUCUGUCUACUGUGUCUUGAGUUUUGGACUUGCUAGAAGAAGUGUUAGAGAUGACGGCGGAGGCGGCGGCGGGAAAAGAUGGUGAUGUUGGUGGAGAUGAAGAGGAGUUGCUGCAGGUACUUUCUUCUGACAUUGUUGAAGGGCCACUGAAGUAGUAGGUGAUGAAUGAUGAUUCUUGGAAAGAAGAGGCUGCGACAAGCAAUUUAAGAGAGAGAGAGAGAGAG
rnacentral:misc_RNA from 1 species